rnacentral:rRNA from 1 species
UAGAGUUUGAUCCUGGCUCAGGACGAACGCUGGCGGCGUGCCUAACACAUGCAAGUCGAGCGGUCCGGCGGGAUAAGCUUGCUUGUCCUACCGGAUAGCGGCGCACGGGUGAGUAACGCGUGGGCAACCUGCCCGGAAGACCGGGAUUACCCCGGGAAACUGGGGCUAAUACCGGAUACGCUCCUUUAGGGGCAUCCCUGGAGGAGGAAAGGGGAAACCCACUUCCGGAGGGGCCCGCGUCCCAUUAGCUAGUUGGCGGGGUAACGGCCCACCAAGGCGACGAUGGGUAGCCGGCCUGAGAGGGUGGCCGGCCACACUGGGACUGAGACACGGCCCAGACUCCUACGGGAGGCAGCAGUGGGGAAUCUUGCGCAAUGGGGGAAACCCUGACGCAGCGACGCCGCGUGGGUGACGAAGGCCUUCGGGUUGUAAAGCCCUGUCGUAGGGGAAGAAGAAAUGACGGUACCCUACAAGAAAGCCCCGGCUAACUACGUGCCAGCCGCCGCGGUAAUAC